rnacentral:snoRNA from 1 species
GAAGGCAGUGACGACUCAGAAAUAUUCAAGCUCAACAGACCGGUGAAGAUGCAAGUGGAGCUUGUAGAUGUCAAUGGUCUUC